rnacentral:lncRNA from 1 species
UUUCCAAGCUUGAAUCCAACACGAGUGAUUCCACACUCAAGUUGAUUUCCCUAGUUACAAUUUCAGAUUUGUGCCCCAAGGAGAGAGGACUUGUCUUUCAAUGUUAUACAACAUUCAUCAUCAUCAAAAUCUAAUGAAUGAAUCCCUAGAAGGUUGUAUUUAUAGUGUAUUACAAGAAUAGUGUGAAAUAUCCAAAAUGACCCCUUAGUCAAAGUCUUCAAGUGGGCUCCCUUAGAGUGCAUUGUGUGGACUGAUUUUGGAGCCUAGUUAGGCCUUCCUUUGCACUUCACGUGUCCACUCCAAGUCUCGGGUUCAUUCACUCUCGCACUCACUCACCUCCGUGGUCGUACCCGUAUUAGUUCUGAACAACGAAGUUCAAGGAAUAAUAAAUAAAUCAGCUAUAUAUAUAUUUACAACACAUGCAUACAUAACAUAAACACAACUAUAUAUAUAAGAAAGCAAAAACUACUAUGAAAGGAAGAACCAAGGACUGUUCCAAUAGCUCAAAGUUGAAGACUACACUAUCCAAAGGUGGAGAUGUUGGAAAUGCUAAAAAUAUCAGUGAUAAGCGCAAAAACUAGAAGCCUCAAACACAAGAAGAGACAAAUUGGAAUCAACUUGCUCUUGUUAAUAAUGGGAACAUUGAUUAUGUUACUAGUCAAUUGGAUUUUGCUAAGGACAUGGGAGAAGCAGCACAAAAGCUUGCAGAAACUAAAGUUUGUGCCUUGAAGAACUCUUUGCAAUUUCCUCUUAAUAAUACUUCUGGGAGCACUAACAACGCUAAGAGAAAAAGUAAAGAGAUUUAUCAAGAGAAAAACAAGAGAGUGGAUUUUGCAGAUAUUUAUGCUCAAAGAAGAAAUAAAGGCAUCACUAUCUGUGAGAUGAACUCCAGAUCAAAAGUGGCCAAACUUUUGGGAACAAGAUGCAAAGAUAAUUCUAGUGGCAAAAAAUUUUCACUCCCAAGGUUUGAACCAAGUGAGGCCUAACUAUUUUCUUGUUAAUAGUAUGAAGGGAAUGAGCGAAUGGCCAAGCCUUCACAAGCCAAGAACAUCAGUACCUGCGCCGCUUAAUUUCUCUAUGAUAAAAUUGAUAAUGGGGGAUGAAAAAUUGACUGAUGAAGAAUUACUGUAUGGAAAAGAGUUGCUUAGUACUCAAGGCGUAUCAUCAGGAGGCCAAAGGGUGCAGGUGCCACAACUGUCCUGCAGCCAAGGAGGAAUGUAUCAUUUUGACAACUCUUUGCAGAAGAUUAACUCACCAAGUUAUCAACAUCAAGUGUUGCAGCAACCCCAGAAAAUACCUUAUAGGGAUCUUCUGACCAGAGAAGAUAUAUCAUGGACUUGAGAUGCUUGCUAUGGACUCUCGAUAGAUAUUCAAGUGAAUAUUGAAGCUGCUACAUACCAGCUUUUCAUACUUUAGACUAUAGUCAUGUGUGCAUCAUUCCUUUGUGUUUUUUUCAUCAAUAACAAUUUCCACCAUUUCUUUUUCCAUCGCAACUUGAGUAAAUACCAAUUCAUAAACAUAGUCAACUGCAGGAUUUUUGCAAAUAGUAGUAAAUAAAUAACGACAUAUACCCAUUGCAAUCUACUAAGUGGGGUCUGAGAAGGGUAGAAUGUAUGAAAGCAGACCAUCUCCCUAUCUUUAUAGGAUAGAGAGGAUGUUUCCAAAAAUCUUUGGUUAAAAAGUAAAAGAAACAUUUGAAGUGUGAUUAUAAGAAAACAAGACAACUACAAAAAAAAAUAGGAAAACAUAUACUAUAAAACAUAAAAAAGAUAUCCCUAAUAUAACCAAAGAAAAAUACAUCAUCCAAAAUGAGCAUCCUACAGUAGCUUCCUUAUAACGACGAAAAACAACUACAUUCUUUAAUCGCUUUUGCUUGCUUAGAUUGCGCUCGAAAUCUUCCUUCUCAAAUGUUAACAAAUAAGAUGAAAGUUCAUGAGAAUAAUAAGUUAAAAUCAGAGAAAAAAAACUAAAAACAGAUUUACUUGCACUUUACCUGUGAACAAGUUUCCUUAAUAGUGGUAAAUAAAGUACUUUGAUAUUUAAUAACAAAAUAUUUUACACUGAUUUUUUCCCAGCAAAAGCUCAUCAGAAAACUUUUUUAUACUAAGAUUUUCUUCAGAUACUAGUUCAAAAGAGGUAACUAAGAGCUUUUGCUAAUUCUUAACAAAAAGAGGCAACUUUCAACCAUCUGUACACUAUCAACAAAGCAAAAUAGUAAUGAAAGCUACCAACCAGAUAUACGUUAGUAUAUAAUGAAACAACUUUUCUCCCAAACUUAAAUAUUUCAUCCUCCGGGAUAAACACAACCUCAUAUGAAGUUAGCCCCUCCGGAAGAUCCCCUCCAUCUUGAGUAUUAUCAACAAAAUUCUCCCCUUGCUCUUUUGGGUGCAUCAUACUCGACUGACCUACAUCAAACACUUGAAUUGAUGCUUCAUUGUCGUCAUUGGAGGAAUCUUCUUCUUCUUCGUCCAUUGUAUUCUUUCCUUUUCCUUCAUCUUCUCUUGGCCUUUUUGCUCAUCGCAUUUUUGAAUUUGGUUUCCUAAUUGUUAUUCCUCCUAAGGUUGGUGUGGUCAAGGGAGAUGAGAUUGUAACGACAUUAUUCAAAUCUAACCAAUUGGAUACCAUGUCGUCAUAGUGAUCAAAGUCAUCAAAUUUAAAUGAACCAAACCAAGAAUUGUCAAUGUCUGGCAGCGAUUGUAGUUGCUCUUUCAUAAGCUCCAUUUGAGUCAAUUCUUUCAGUGAGUACCAUCUUGGUAUUGGACAAGUUGAUGGAUCUACAAAAUCAAAUAAUGGAAAGAAUGUUGACUCAUUGUAAUUCCAUUGCACAGCUAUUCUUUGCAUGAAGUUUGCAAGUCCCCAAAUCAUAUCACUAUUGUAGAUCACCCCUUGCAUAAGAAUGUUUUCUAUUCUAUCUAACUUGUUCAUCAACUUAUCCUCCACUCCCUUAAGUUGUGUAGUCACUUCUUCCUUCUUUUUUGUAGAGCUAGAUUCUAUGUCAUCAUAUUUUUUCUGUAAAAGCUCCAUAACAAUUUUUGAAGUGGGAGAAGUAGGAGGAGUAGGAGAAGUCGGAGAAGUAGUUUGUUGCCUUCUCCUAUUUCUCAAGAGGGGUUCCUCUUCUCCUUCCUUUCUUCUUGGGCCAUGAGUUUUUACAAGCCUUGCCUAUAAUUUUUUGUCCAAUAUUUUGUUGGAUGGACUCAUAGCUCUUGAAUUAAUAAUCACUCCAACAUCCAUAAUUAAUCUAGUUAUGGUUGAUGGAAACCACAAAGUACCCACAGUAUGAUCAAACCUACACAUCUUGAUAUGAAAAUUGAUAAACUUACCAACAUUUACGGACAUACCUAAACAGAUAACAUAUAGCAGCGCCAACCUAUUUGAGUAUAUUUCGUUGGUAUGGGAGUUUGGAAUCAUCCUGCGACUAAGAAAAUGAGAAGAGGUCUUGCUUUAUACACAAUAUUUUUUCCCAACAAACUUAUCUUGUUUUCGUCUCCGUCAUAGCCCCAAUUAGCUCCAAAUGGACAGAGAAUUUUUUUCUAUUUUAUUCAAAUCGGGCUUGUCAAUAAACACUGGUGUUGUACUAUCAUCAGCUGGUGUUUGGAGAUUAUAUAAGCGAUUGAUAGCCCAAGGAGAAUAAUCAAUUCUUCUACCUUUAACAGUAGAAAAAUUUGAAUUCCUACUCAGAUUUUUAUAAAAUUUCCGUACCAAAUUCAAAGAGAACUUGCCUGGUGGUUUCGCAAACUCUUCCCAUUGAUGAUAAUCAAGCACAUUAGCAACAUACUCUCAUCUUCUUCCCCGUCUUGAAAGUCAAAGAAAAUUCCUCUUUCAAGAAUGGGGGUUCUUUCAAGGUUAUCUUGAAUCAAAUCCUCUCCCUUUUAAGGUGUAAUUGAGCGCUCAGAUUGAUUAUUUUUUGGAGGCAUUUUCUAGUUUAGAAAGUAGAUUGCAGAAGGAAGAAAUGGUGAAGAGGCAUAGCAGGGAAUGAUUUUUUGAACUUUUUUCUGUUUAGUAUUCACUUUGUUCUAAUAUAUAUAAAGUACUAAGCAUAUUUCAUCAAGUUGCCACUUUAACUCUCUCAAUGUUGCAGCAGUAUAAAAAAAAUAAAAUUUAAACUAACAAUUUCAAAG